rnacentral:tRNA from 1 species
UCAUAGCUCAGUCGGUAAAGAAUCUGCCUGCAAUUCAGGAGACCCAGGUUUGAUUCCUGGGUUAUGAA